GGGUUGUGAGGUUAAGCGACUAAGCGUACACGGUGGAUGCCCUGGCAGUCAGAGGCGAUGAAGGACGUGCUAAUCUGCGAAAAGCGUCGGUAAGGUGAUAUGAACCGUUAUAACCGGCGAUGUCCGAAUGGGGAAACCCAGUGCAAUUCGUUGCACUAUCGUUAACUGAAUACAUAGGUUAACGAGGCGAACCGGGGGAACUGAAACAUCUAAGUACCCCGAGGAAAAGAAAUCAACCGAGAUUCCCCCAGUAGCGGCGAGCGAACGGGGAGCAGCCCAGAGUCUGAAUCAGCUUGUGUGUUAGUGGAACGGUCUGGAAAGUCCGACGGUACAGGGUGAUAGUCCCGUACACCAAAAUGCACAGGUUGUGAACUCGAAGAGUAGGGCGGGACACGUGGUAUCCUGUCUGAAUAUGGGGGGACCAUCCUCCAAGGCUAAAUACUCCUGACUGACCGAUAGUGAACCAGUACCGUGAGGGAAAGGCGAAAAGAACCCCGGCGAGGGGAGUGAAAAAGAACCUGAAACCGUGUACGUACAAGCAGUGGGAGCACCUUCGGGUGUGACUGCGUACCUUUUGUAUAAUGGGUCAGCGACUUAUAUUCUGUAGCAAGGUUAACCGUAUAGGGGAGCCGCAGGGAAACCGAGUCUUAACUGGGCGUUAAGUUGCAGGGUAUAGACCCGAAACCCGGUGAUCUAGCCAUGGGCAGGUUGAAGGUUGGGUAACACUAACUGGAGGACCGAACCGACUAAUGUUGAAAAAUUAGCGGAUGACUUGUGGCUGGGGGUGAAAGGCCAAUCAAACCGGGAGAUAGCUGGUUCUCCCCGAAAGCUAUUUAGGUAGCGCCUCGUGAAUUCAUCUUCGGGGGUAGAGCACUGUUUCGGCUAGGGGGUCAUCCCGACUUACCAACCCGAUGCAAACUACGAAUACCGAAGAAUGUUAUCACGGGAGACACACGGCGGGUGCUAACGUCCGUCGUGAAGAGGGAAACAACCCAGACCGCCAGCUAAGGUCCCAAAGUCAUGGUUAAGUGGGAAACGAUGUGGGAAGGCACAGACAGCCAGGAUGUUGGCUUAGAAGCAGCCAUCAUUUAAAGAAAGCGUAAUAGCUCACUGGUCGAGUCGGCCUGCGCGGAAGAUGUAACGGGGCUAAACCAUGCACCGAAGCUGCGGCAGCGACACUAUGUGUUGUUGGGUAGGGGAGCGUUCUGUAAGCCUGCGAAGGUGACCUGUGAGGGUUGCUGGAGGUAUCAGAAGUGCGAAUGCUGACAUAAGUAACGAUAAAGCGGGUGAAAAGCCCGCUCGCCGGAAGACCAAGGGUUCCUGUCCAACGUUAAUCGGGGCAGGGUGAGUCGACCCCUAAGGCGAGGCCGAAAGGCGUAGUCGAUGGGAAACAGGUUAAUAUUCCUGUACUUGGUGUUACUGCGAAGGGGGGACGGAGAAGGCUAUGUUAGCCGGGCGACGGUUGUCCCGGUUUAAGCAUGUAGGCUGGUUGUCCAGGCAAAUCCGGAUAAUCAAGGCUGAGGUGUGAUGACGAGGCACUACGGUGCUGAAGUAACAAAUGCCCUGCUUCCAGGAAAAGCCUCUAAGCAUCAGGUAACAUCAAAUCGUACCCCAAACCGACACAGGUGGUCAGGUAGAGAAUACCAAGGCGCUUGAGAGAACUCGGGUGAAGGAACUAGGCAAAAUGGUGCCGUAACUUCGGGAGAAGGCACGCUGGUGUGUAGGUGAAGCCCCUGCGGGUGGAGCUGAGACCAGUCGAAGAUACCAGCUGGCUGCAACUGUUUAUUAAAAACACAGCACUGUGCAAACACGAAAGUGGACGUAUACGGUGUGACGCCUGCCCGGUGCCGGAAGGUUAAUUGAUGGGGUUAUCCGUAAGGAGAAGCUCUUGAUCGAAGCCCCGGUAAACGGCGGCCGUAACUAUAACGGUCCUAAGGUAGCGAAAUUCCUUGUCGGGUAAGUUCCGACCUGCACGAAUGGCGUAAUGAUGGCCAGGCUGUCUCCACCCGAGACUCAGUGAAAUUGAACUCGCUGUGAAGAUGCAGUGUACCCGCGGCAAGACGGAAAGACCCCGUGAACCUUUACUAUAGCUUGACACUGAACAUUGAGCCUUGAUGUGUAGGAUAGGUGGGAGGCUUUGAAGCGUGGACGCCAGUCUGCGUGGAGCCAACCUUGAAAUACCACCCUUUAAUGUUUGAUGUUCUAACGUUGGCCCCUUAUCGGGGUUGCGGACAGUGUCUGGUGGGUAGUUUGACUGGGGCGGUCUCCUCCCAAAGCGUAACGGAGGAGCACGAAGGUUAGCUAAUCCUGGUCGGACAUCAGGAGGUUAGUGCAAUGGCAUAAGCUAGCUUGACUGCGAGCGUGACGGCGCGAGCAGGUGCGAAAGCAGGUCAUAGUGAUCCGGUGGUUCUGAAUGGAAGGGCCAUCGCUCAACGGAUAAAAGGUACUCCGGGGAUAACAGGCUGAUACCGCCCAAGAGUUCAUAUCGACGGCGGUGUUUGGCACCUCGAUGUCGGCUCAUCACAUCCUGGGGCUGAAGUAGGUCCCAAGGGUAUGGCUGUUCGCCAUUUAAAGUGGUACGCGAGCUGGGUUUAGAACGUCGUGAGACAGUUCGGUCCCUAUCUGCCGUGGGCGCUGGAGAAUUGAGGGGGGCUGCUCCUAGUACGAGAGGACCGGAGUGGACGCAUCACUGGUGUUCGGGUUGUCAUGCCAAUGGCACUGCCCGGUAGCUAAAUGCGGAAGAGAUAAGUGCUGAAAGCAUCUAAGCACGAAACUUGCCCCGAGAUGAGUUCUCCCUGAGACUUUAAGUCUCCUGAAGGAACGUUGAAGACGACGACGUUGAUAGGCCGGGUGUGUAAGCGCAGCGAUGCGUUGAGCUAACCGGUACUAAUGAACCGUGAGGCUUAACCUUACAACGCCGAAG
rnacentral:rRNA from 1 species